UAAACUACACACAGCACAUCUGCACCUUUGGAUUUGGUUUUAUUAGGGCAGCUGCUUCUGUGUUUUACCAGAAUUCAUUCACUUUUAAAUUGACUGAUUGGCAUUUGGGUAUGUAACACACUGUAAUUAUAAUUGAAAAAUAUAAAAUUUUGUAUUAAUGUAAUAAAUUGGAAAAAUCCUUACUGAACCUGAUAUAUAUUUUACACUGUGCACUUAUUAGGAACACUGUUCUGAUACUGAGUAGGGCCUCGCUCAAAAUGUCUUGUUUAAUGCUGUAACCCCCGUUCUCUGGUGGAGGGAAUGAGACUUUGUGUCAGUGUACUGAUACUAGGGGUCACACCUCUGAGAAAACACCAAUGAGAAUCGGCGAGUGGAAUUUUUUUUCAUUUUUUUAUUCCUUUAUUUAACCAGGGGAUGUCAUAUUGAGACUAUAGUCUCUUUUUCAAAUGAUCCCUGGCCAAGAAAGGCAGCACUUAAAAUGUAUCAGCACCCCAUAAACAACACUACAACACCUAACAAUGACAAAAGUUAAAUACAACAACAAACAAAAUAUGACAUAAUAACAUAAUAACCAGGACAGGCAGAAAACAAAACAGAACAGAAGCCUAUAUAUAAUCACACUUAUAGUUGAAGGUUUCAAUUUAAAAUAAUUAAGUGGGAUAAUAGUGCCUAGCUUCAGCUGUUUCUGCAAUGCAUUCCAAGUUGAAGGGGCUUUGUAACGGAAGGCAAUUUUACCAAAUUCAGAUUUUACAGCAGGUAUAGUAAAAAGAAUGCUAUUUCUUGACCUGAGAUUGUAUCUAUUAUUUUCUACCAAAGAGAAAACUGAUAUGUAAGAAGGCAUCAAUCCUAUCGCUGCCUUAUAAAUAAAAAUAAGCCAGUGAUGCUGUCUACGAAUUGAGAGUGGAGGCCAACCUGAUAAACUGUACAAACUACAAUGAUAUGUAGAAUACUCAGCUUUAGUAACAAAGCGUAAAGCAGAAUGGUAAAUAGAAUCCAGUGAGCAUAAAACAGACUUUGCUGCAUGCAUGUACAGAAUAUCUCCAUAGUCUAUAACAGAUAAAAAGGUAGCAGCAACAAGUUCCUUUCUUACUUUUAAAUUAAAACAAGCCUUAUUUCUAUAAUAAAAACCCAGUUUAACUCUCAGCUUUUUUACCAGGUUAUCUACAUGGGGUUUAAAUGUGAGCUUUUCAUCUAAUAAAAAACCAGAGUAAUUAUAACAUGACACUCUUAUUUUCUGGUCAUAUAUAGUGAUAAUUUGAGGCAAAUCCUGUACAUUUGCUGGAGUGAGUGAAUAACAUAAAUUUUGUCUUUUUAGAAUUAAGUACCAAUUUUAAUUUUAGUAAAUUGUUUGGUAGAACUGUAAAAGCAUCCUGCAAUUUCUUUAAUGCCUCAUUUGGAGAUCUAGCAGUACUGUAUAUGAUAGUAUCAUCCGCAUAGAGAUGUACAGCUGCAUCUUCGUUUGUACAAAUAUCAUUUAUGGAGAUUGUAAACAACAAAGGCCCUAAUAAUGAACCUUGAGGGACUCCAACUAUUAGUUCUGUCUCCCCUGACAUAAUGCCUUCACAAGUGACAUGCUGAUAUCUACUAGACAGAUAAUUUUUAAACCAUUCAAUAACAUUAUCAGACAUCCCAAUUUUAGACAGACAUUUUAACAAAAUGGUAUGAUCAACCGUAUCAAAAGCUUUUGAGAGAUCAAUAUAAUGUAAUUAAUUUAUGUAAUUACAUCUUUAAGCUUAGAUGUUUGGAGCCAACACUGUUGACCCUUACCUUAAUCUUUUACUAUCCCUUACCUGGAUAGUAUGAUUCCAGGGGCACAGCUCUGCUGCAGACCCAGUGCUUUGUGUGUCGUCACUUAUAAAAACAUUUAACCCUCCCUUAAACCUAACCAGAUCCAAAAAUCUGUCCUUAACCUUAAUCGUAUCCUUAAUCAUAUCCCAUCUCAAAAGCAGAAGUGUUUUGCAAUACAAAAUGAACACAAAAAGUUUAUUGUACCUAACAUUUUUUAUGUAAGUACAUAGUAGUUAAACACACCUACCAUAUAGUGGUGCCCAUUCAAGUGAUGACUGAUUGGUAUUAAUGGGCUUAAAGUGUACCAAGACAUUGGCACAUUCCCCUUUCACCAUUACGUCACCACUACUGGCCUGGCCUGUUCACACAUAGCAGGUAAAGUCCAUGGAUUAAUGCUUUUGCUGCCUAAUUCUGAGAUUCAUCAGACCAGGCUGUUUUUCCAGUCUUUCCAUUUUGGGCAAACCUGUGCACACUGCUGUCUUAGCUUUCUGUUCUUGGCUGACAGAACUGGAACCUGACAUGGUCUACUGCUGUUGUUUCCACAUGCUGUAUAUGAGAUGUAUUAUGUUCCUCCCCAGUCUAGAGAUAGGAAGUAAUAGAAUAUGUUGGGAAAAGGAGGAAGCAUUCCCUUCUGCUGACUUAAACACAACACCAUUGUUGAUGCAAAAAAAAAAAAAAAAAAAAAAAUGAAAUGUAUUAACCAAACAGAAGGAAACAACACU